rnacentral:lncRNA from 1 species
CUCAGCGGCGCUUCUUAGCAGAGGAAGCUGUUUGCGGGGAAAAAGGGCCAGAGAAGCAGAUGCAGAAACUGAGGCUCAGAAGCGUUCGGCCACGUGCAUGCAUUGCCUUUCCCAUUGGUGCUCCAUCGCCAGUAAUGGAUAAGUAAUAAGUAAUAAGGUGCAUUGGAAAUUCAAAUUUCAGAAUAAGCUGACUGCCAAGAGGGCCCUCCCCCUGUCGGGAGUCCCUUAGUCCAUGGGAAAUUCACAGAGAAGGAAACAGUCACUUUUCCUGCACCUGAGAAGGUGAUUCUGACUCUCCUGGAACCUGAGAACCACCAGUCUACGGGAACAGAGCCCUGCUUUGGGUCAGGUGUGUAUAACUAUGGUAUUCCCUUUCUUCUCUGCCUCUAUUGUUGAUGUUGUUUUUUUGUUUUUUGUUUUUUUUUGAAACGGAGUCUCGCUGUUGCCCAGGCUGGAGUGCAGUGGCGCAAUCUCGGCUCACUACAAUCUCCGCCUCUGGGGUUCACGCCAUUCUCCUGCCUCAGCCUCCCGAGUAGCUGGUAAGGGAGGAGACCACCCCUCACAUUGUCUUAUGCCCAAUUUCUGCCUCCAAAGAAAGAAGUAAAAACUAAAAGGCAGAAAUGAAAUCCACAGGCAGACAGCCCGGCGCUGCACCCUGGGCCUGGUAGUUAAAGAUCGACCCCUGACCUAAUCAGUUAUGUUGUCUAUAGAUUACAGACAUUGUAUAGAAAUGCACUGUGAAAAUCCCUAUCUGUUUUGUUCCGAUCUAGUUACCAGUGCAUGCAGACCCCAGUCACGUACCCCUUGCUUGCUCAAUCAAUCCCGACCCCCUCACACGCACCCUCCUUAGAGUUGUGAGCCCUUAAAAGGGAUAGGAAUUGCUCACUCGGGGAGCUCGGCUCUCGAGACAGGAGUCUUGCCGAUGCCCCCAGCCGAUUAAACCCCUUCCUUCAACUCGGUGUCUGAGGAGUUUUGUCUGCAGCUCGUCCUGCUACACUGGGACUACAGGCGCUCGCCACCAC